UGGGCCGUCGCCAAGCGGUAAGGCACAGCACUUUGACUGCUGCAUUCACCGGUUCAAAUCCAGUCGGCCUAG
rnacentral:tRNA from 1 species